CAGCGCCACGGUAAUACGUAGGGUGCAAGCGUUAAUCGGAUUUACUGGGCGUAAAGAGCGCGUAGGUGGUUAUGUAAGUGAGAUGUGAAAUCCCCGGGCUCAACCUGGGAACUGCAUCUUAUACUGCGUAGCUGGAGUGCAGUAGAGGGUAGUGGAAUUUCCGGUGUAGCGGUGAAAUGCGUAGAUAUCGGAAGGAACACCAGUGGCGAAGGCGGCUACCUGGACUGACACUGACACUGAGGCGCGAAAGCGUGGGGAGCAAACAGGAUUAGAUACCCCCGUAGUCCCUGUCUCUUAUACC
rnacentral:rRNA from 1 species